rnacentral:rRNA from 1 species
GACGAACGCUGGCGGCGUGCUUAACACAUGCAAGUCGAACGGAGCGAAUGAAAGCUUGCUUUUAUAAGCUUAGUGGCAAACGGGUGAGUAACACGUAGACAACCUGCCGACAGGAUGGGGACAACAUUCCGAAAGGAAUGCUAAUACCGAAUGAAGUCGAGGGAAGGCACCUUCCUUCGAUGAAAGAUGGCCUCUGAAUAAGCUAUCACCUGUUGAUGGGUCUGCGUCUGAUUAGCUGGUAGGUGAGGUAACGGCUCACCUAGGCGACGAUCAGUAGCCGGUCUGAGAGGAUGAACGGCCACAUUGGGACUGAGACACGGCCCAGACUCCUACGGGAGGCAGCAGUGGGGAAUCUUCCGCAAUGGGCGCAAGCCUGACGGAGCAACGCCGCGUGAGUGAAGAAGGUCUUCGGAUCGUAAAGCUCUGUUGAUGGGGACGAACGUGCCUAAUGCGAAUAGUUUUAGG